CGAGCGGCCCUGCUGGCUCCGUAGCUGCAGGACUUUCUCCGUACGGAGCAUUUCGGCCGAGACACGGCUCGGCCAGGCCCGGCACGGCCCCGGGCUCGCCGCCCGCCUGCGCACGGUGCGAGAGGCGGUGCUGCAUGGAGAGGGAGGGACGGAGAGGAGCGGAGGGGAGGGACGGGAAAGCGGCGGGAGGCGAUGCUGGGGCCGGCCUGAGGGAGCGGUGUGGAGGCGGAGGGACUGGGCUGAGGGGGAGCUCUGAGGGGUGGGCGGGAGCGGGCUGAGGGAACCGGGCUGAAGCUGAGGGGAGUUUCUGAGGGAAAGGCGGGAGCGGGCUGAGGGGAAAUUCUGAGGGAGAGGUGUGGAAAAGCUGAGGGGAAUUUCUGAGGAAAAGGCCUCCUGUUACAAGGGCAGAGAUGAUUUGCGUUGGACGCACUGGGAGACUGGAAAGGCUUCGGAGAAGAACAAGAAGAAGCUGUCUUGCUAUGCCUAAACUAGUCCUGCAUAAAUGCAUGUGUGUGAACCUCCAUGGUCGUUCAUGGCAUCUCUCAGGAGCAGACCCAGUUGUGAUUCCUCAUUCCGGUACGUAGUGUGUGAUACUGAGGAAGUGCAAGGCACCACUGUGAGGAGUGUCCCCACCUGUUGGACCAGCAAGGGCAGCUCUGCAGGUAAGAGA
rnacentral:lncRNA from 1 species